CCUUGCCAUAUCUACUGAUUUGGUAGAGACGCCACUAAAAAGCACCCGAUUCCCGGCGGUGAUCGUGUAUGUUCGGAGAAAAAUUCGGUCGUUUGACGUGAAUGACAAGAAUAACGACACGAAUGUUCCCGCGUUUGUUAGUUGUUUACUUUCGUAAAAAAGCUCCAACUAAUUUGAUCAAUUAUUGCGAUUAUACUGAACUUGUUUCUUUGUGAAAUAUUGACCAUAUUGUUGCUUAUAGUGCUUUAAAAUAAUACCUGAAAAGCUGUAUUAAUUCCAAUUCAGCGAUUUUAGCUGUAAAGAUGGACAGCCCUACUCAAAACUAUUAGAAUCAGGACCAAACUAUCAACAAAAAUUUGUGCCACCUAUGCAGUAAAAUGUUUUCUUCCAUUUCAGCUAAGAACAAACAUAUUAAAGUUAUUCAUAAGCAGCAGCUCCUAGAUAACCCAAAGUCACACAUUUCUUGUCCCUUAUGCAAAGAGACUAAGUAUUCUUGUGAGACUUAUCAAAGACUUGAAGCUCAUUUACAGGUUAAGGCAUGAUAUCAAAAUAGAGUCCUCAACUUUCCAUUUUUCCAGCGAAGAAAGAUUUGAGGAAUGGUUAAGAGAGCAUAAAAUAAGCACAAACUAUGCACUUGUUCGCACAAGGAAAAUUGAAGACAAGAUUGAAAAAUUAUAUUGUUGCAAUCGAAGCGAUUUUAGAGGUAAUUUGUAGCAAUUUCAAUUGUUCAUUAUGGUGUGUGAGCAAAGGAAGGGAAGCGAUUCUGUUUUAGGUGAACUCCUUGAGGAAUGUUCUUUCAAUAAUAUUGAAGCUAGCCAUAGUCUAGAAAUUGAAAUUGAAAGUGUAUCAAACUUUUUAAGAUCUUUAAAUGAUGAAACUUAUGAUAAGUGCAUGAGACAACUGACAUCAAUGAUGGAACAGAUAAAUAAGACAAAUGCAAGUAAACGAAAAAUGGACAAACAAGUUUAUUUUCCAUCAAAGAAGAAGAAGGAGCAGUAAAUAAAAAUAAUUCAUUGUAUAUUUUUUUCUAUUUAUCAGUAUUUUUUUUAUAUAAUAGUAGGUAUAUUUUUAUAGGUUUAACUAUAUAUGUAUGUAUAUGUGUAUUAUAAUUUUUUAUGUAAGUUUUAGGCAAAUAUUUGAAAAAACAUUACCUAUCUCAUAAGUUUCUUGCAGUUUCUUCUUAGGAGUAUUAAUCGAAACUGCGAAUUGUAAAUUAGUAUUUUAGCAUAAAAUAAUUAAGUUUAUUUUCAAAUCAGUCAUAUACAUGUCUUUGCAGCAUUUAUAAAAUAAAACUAUUUAAUAUAUGAUACAUUUAUAUAACAGUAUAACUAAUUAAA